GUGAGCAGUCCUGUAAAACUGGGGACUGAUGACGCAAGAGACGCCCGAGGGAUCUGUCACGCCCAUUGGGGAAUGUUGUGAAAGCUCGGUCUUUAUUUAGGCAUUUGAGCGUGGAUCUGUAGCUGCUCAGGAAGUGUGGGUGAGCUGUCAGUGAUCAACAGUGGAAGGCAGCGGAUCGUAUUUUGUGAUCUAGAAAGAUAUCAGCAUUGAUCUAACAUGAAUGAAGCAAAGCUGACCUUCAUAUUUUUGCUGUGUGCUGUUGAACUCACUCAGUGCUUACCAGUCACAGCAAGUCAAGGUGGAAACAGAUCUGUGUUUUUCUGCAAGAAUCCAGGAUGUGCCACUAAUGUGACAUGUGUAUUUUGCAACGAUAACCUAAUCUGGAGACACAGUCACAUUGCAAAUUGUACAGGCCCUCCACCACCCAAUACUGUCUGCCAGCAAGAUGGUCGGGCAUUCGUUUCCAUAGAUACACAUGGUGACUGCGAAUUUGAAGGAAAAGACGGUUAUAUUAUGACAGAAAAAUGUACAGACCACAGCAACAUUUGUUUUUUCAUCAGUGCAACCACAUCAUCGCCAGUCACCAGCAAUGGUACGCCAAGAUACUCUUCAAAACGUGGAUACAUUCUCGGUGGAGUUUGUAAGUUCUGAGCACCAGUACAUAUGUUACUUUGUCUGCUCUGCCAUGUUUCUUCUGUUUUUGGACAGGCAACUGUUGACAGCAGCCAGUGGUAAAUCUUUCUUUCACCUUUCCCAUCACCGAUAUCUGCCAUGAUUUAACUUAUUUGUUGAAUUCAAGAAAAUAAUGCUUUUUGCUACUAAUCCGACUUGGUUUUACUCUCCCAUCCUCUGUCUUCUUGCUUUCGCUCAGGGCUGAAAUAUUUGUCUAGUCAAUGCUAACAAUGAGGUGGUUCUUUCAUGCUAAUAGUAGGCUUGUGUCUGAUUGCACAUUGCCGUAAACAGAGACAAAACAGAGAACUAAAUCAACAUCAUGCAAGUGACUCUGAUGUGACUGAACCCCUAAGAGAGAUGCAAAGCCCUAGAGAAACAAGUGUGAGUGAUACUCGUUGUGGGCCUGGAUUGAACGGAAGCAGCAACAGCGUUCUAUCUCCGUGUGACAGUGGAGCUUAAACUCCUGUAGCCUCGUUCCUCUUCUAAUGUUUUUGUUGUCAAGUUUUAUGUUUCUUAUUUUGUAAAAUAAACAUGUU